rnacentral:misc_RNA from 1 species
AACGCACAUUGCGCCCGCCAGUAUUCUGGCGGGCAUGCCUGUCCGAGCGUCAUUUCAACCCUCGAACCCCUCCGGGGGUCCGGCGUUGGGGAUCGGCCCUUAACCGGCCGGCCCCGAAAUACAGUGGCGGCCUUGCCGCAGCCUCUCAUGCGCAGUAGUUUGCACACUCGCACCGGGAGCGCGGCGCGGCCACAGCCGUAAAACAAACCAAACUCUGAAAUGUUGACCUCGGAUCAGGUAGGAAUACCCGCUGAACUUAA